CAGUAGCCGCGGUAAUACAGAGGGUGCAAGCGUUAAUCGGAAUUACUGGGCGUAAAGCGCGCGUAGGUGGUUCGCCAAGUUGGAUGUGAAAUCCCCGGGCUCAACCUGGGAACUGCAUCCAAAACUGGCGAGCUAGAGUAUGGUAGAGGGUGGUGGAAUUUCCUGUGUAGCGGUGAAAUGCGUAGAUAUAGGAAGGAACAUCAGUGGCGAAGGCGACUAUCUGGGCCAACACUGACACUGAGGCACGAAAGCGUGGGGAGCAAACAGGAUUAGAUACCCCAGUAGUCCCUGUCUCUUAUAC
rnacentral:rRNA from 1 species